rnacentral:rRNA from 1 species
AGUGAACGCUGGCGGUAGGCCUAACACAUGCAAGUCGAACGGCAGCACAGGAGAGCUUGCUCUCUGGGUGGCGAGUGGCGGACGGGUGAGGAAUACAUCGGAAUCUACUCUGUCGUGGGGGAUAACGUAGGGAAACUUACGCUAAUACCGCAUACGACCUACGGGUGAAAUCAGGGGACCUUCGGCCCUUGCGCGAUUGAAUGAGCCGAUGUCGGAUUAGCUAGUUGGGGGGGUAAAGGCCCACCAAGGCGACGAUCCGUAGCUGGUCUGAGAGGAUGAUCAGCCACACUGGAACUGAGACACGGUCCAGACUCCUACGGGAGGCAGCAGUGGGGAAUAUUGGACAAUGGGCGCAAGCCUGAUCCAGCCAUACCGCGUGGGUGAAGAAGGCCUUCGGGUUGUAAAGCCCUUUUGUUGGGAAAGAAAUCCAGCUGGCUAAUACCCGGUUGGGAUGACGGUACCCAAAGAAUAAGCACCGGCUAACUUCGUGCCAGCCGCCGCAGUAA